GACGAACGCUGGCGGCGUGCUUAACACAUGCAAGUCGAACGGAAAGGCUCCAGCUUGCUGGAGUACUCGAGUGGCGAAAGGGUGAGUAACACGUGGGUAAUCUGCCCUGCACUCUGGGAUAAGCCUGGGAAACUGGGUCUAAUACUGGAUAUGACCUUUCUCCUUAUGGGGUUUGGUGGAAAGUUUUUCGGUUUAGGUUGAGCGCGCGGCCUAUCAGCUUGUUGGUGGGGUGAUGGCCUACCAAGGCGACGAAGGGUAGCCGGCCUGAGAGGGUGAUCGGCCACAGUGGGACUGAGAUACGGGCCAGACUCAUACGGGAGGCAGCAGUGGGGAAUAUUGCACAAUGGGCGGAAGCCUGAUGCAGCGACGCCGCGUGAUGGAUGACUGCCUUCGGGUUGUAAACCUCUUUCAGCAGGGACGAAGCGUAAGUGACGGUACCUGCAGAAGAAGCACCGGCUAACUAUGUG
rnacentral:rRNA from 1 species